rnacentral:rRNA from 1 species
CAUUUAUGUUGUGUGCAUGGAAUAAUGGAAUAGGACCUCGGUUCUAUUUUGUUGGUUUUCGGAAUCUGAGGUAAUGAUCAAUGGGGACAGGCGGGGGCAUUCGUAUUGCGACGUUAGAGGUGAAAUUCUUGGAUCGUCGCAAGACGGACCGAAGCGAAAGCAUUUGCCAAGUAUGUUCUCGUCGAUCAAGAACGAAAGUUAGAGGUUCGAAGGCGAUCAGAUACCGCCCUAGUUCUAACCAUAAACUAUGCCUGCCAGCGAUCCGCCGAAGUUCCUCCGAUGACUCGGCGGGCAGCUUCCGGGAAACCAGAGCUUUUGGGUUCCGGGGGAAGUAUGGUUGCAAAGCUGAAACUUAAAGGAAUUGACGGAAGGGCACCACCAGGAGUGGAGCCUGCGGCUUAAUUUGACUCAACACGGGAAAACUCACCAGGCCCGGACACCGGAAGGAUUGACAGAUUGAGAGCUCUUUCUUGAUUCGGUGGGUGGUGGUGCAUGGCCGUUCUUAGUUGGUGGAGCGAUUUGUCUGGUUAAUUCCGAUAACGAACGAGACUCUAGCCUACUAACUAGGCGUACCCGGUAUCCACAAUCGUGCUACCGGCGAUCAAAUUUCUUCUUAGAGGGACAGGCGGCUUCUAGCCGCACGAGACUGAGCAAUAACAGGUCUGUGAUGCCCUUAGAUGUCCUGGGCCGCACGCGCGCUACACUGAAGGAAUCAGCGUGUCUUCCCUGUCCGAAAGGACCGGGUAAUCCGCUGAACCUCCUUUGUGCUAGGGAUUGGGGCUUGCAAUUGUUCCCCAUGAACGAGGAAUCCCAGUAAGCGCGAUCUUCCC